rnacentral:rRNA from 1 species
GGGGAAUAUUGCGCAAUGGGGGAAACCCUGACGCAGCAACGCCGCGUGAAGGAAGAAGGUCUUCGGAUCGUAAACUUUUGUCUUCUGGGAAGAAUAAUGACGGUACCAGAGGAGGAAGCCACGGCUAACUACGUGCCAGCAGCCGCGGUAAUACGUAGGUGGCGAGCGUUGUCCGGAAUUACUGGGUGUAAAGGGCGCGUAGGCGGGAGAGCAAGUCAGAUGUGAAAUACCGAGGCUCAACUUCGGGGCUGCAUUUGAAACUGUUCUUCUUGAGUGCAGGAGAGGAAAGCGGAAUUCCUAGUGUAGCGGUGAAAUGCGUAGAUAUUAGGAGGAACACCAGUGGCGAAGGCGGCUUUCUGGACUGUAACUGACGCUGAGGCGCGAAAGCGUGGGUAGCAAAC